AUGAAACAAAAGCCCGUGAGAAAAUGUCAACAUCAAUCAUUUAUGAAUGAAGAUGGAGUCUCUAGCCUAAAAUUUCUUGAGAUAAUCAGUGUUGUCUGGUUCAUCCAAUCAGAAUGAUCACUCCAUUUGCAGACUAUCAGGUUCCAAUCUGAAGUAUACAAGGGAAGAGUAAAAUCUUUUUCAUUCCUAUUUACAAACACUUACUAGAUCCAGAAGAAUAUCCUGAUUGUUUUGUGCACCAUAAGAUGAAUUUCAAUCUGACACAUAAUUCUGAAAAAUUGAGUGGAACACCAUGAUCACUGGAUGGUCUUCUUCAAGCUGGCAUGUCUUUGUCACAAUAUCUUGACUCUGCAUUGCCAUCAAAACUUUGCAUUCCUUAAAAUACAAAGACAAUUUUUAUAAACUAAAACAACAGACUUGAUAAAAAGGCUAAUAUUAAAAAAAACGUGUCAUUAUUUACCCCAUUUUUUUCCUUUUUAAUUAUUUUAUGAAAUUAAAACCCUUGCAAAAAUUAGAACCUGCGACUUACUGUCAAGCAGAGGUGUCCGGAAAUAAGAUAAACAGCUCCUUUAAGUUGAAGAAUGCCGAGAAUAUCUGAAUGCUAUGGAUUCAUGGUGUCAUCAUACUGUAUAUAUCCACCACUGAAGCCUAAGAUAUAAAUGUUCGAAAGUAAUUAUAGUGAUCAUAUUUCUGGUACAGUGACAGCAAAUUUUAAGUAUUUUGUGAAUAAAAAAAUUGAAUCCACA